UACGAAGGGGGCUAGCGUUGCUCGGAAUCACUGGGCGUAAAGCGCACGUAGGCGGAUUGUUAAGUCAGGGGUGAAAUCCUGGAGCUCAACUCCAGAACUGCCUUUGAUACUGAAGAUCUUGAGUUCGGGAGAGGUGAGUGGAACUGCGAGUGUAGAGGUGAAAUUCGUAGAUAUUCGCAAGAACACCAGUGGCGAAGGCGGCUCACUGGCCCGAUACUGACGCUGAGGCACGAAAGCGUGGGGAGCAACAGGG
rnacentral:rRNA from 1 species